rnacentral:rRNA from 1 species
AGGACGAACGCUGGCGGCGUGCUUAGCACAUGCAAGUCGAGCGGAAAGGCCCUUCGGGGUACUCGAGCGGCGAACGGGUGAGUAACACGUGAGCAACCUGCCCUUAGCUCCGGGAUAGCUCCGGGAAACCGGAAUUAAUACCGGAUAUGACCUAGGCCGACAUCGGCUGUGGUGGAAAGUUUUUCGGCUGGGGAUGGACUCGCGGCCUAUCAGCUUGUUGGUGGGGUAAUGGCCUACCAAGGCGACGACGGGUAGCCGGCCUGAGAGGGCGACCGGCCAACGACUGGGACUGAGACACGGCCCAGACUCCUACGGGAGGCAGCAGUGGGGAAUCUUGCGCAAUGGGCGAAAGCCUGACGCAGCGACGCCGCGUGGGGGAUGAAGGCCUUCGGGUUGUAAAGCCCUGUGGGGAGAGACGAAUUAGUAGAAGCUAACACCUUCUAUGAUGACGGUACCUCCUUAGCAAGCACCGGCUAACUCUGUGCCAGCAGCCGC